GCCCGAGGUGCUCAAGCGCGCCGGCUACGACGCCGCCUGCGACAUAUGGAGUCUGGGUGUGCUGGCGUACAUAAUGCUGUCCGGCCGGACACCAUUUGCUUCCACGGGCGAUGAUACCCCUGAAGCUAUUUUAGCAAGAAUCGAAUCUGGAAAGGUGGAGCUAUCAGAAGGUCCGUGGCGGAAUGUGUCUGCGGAGGCG